rnacentral:rRNA from 1 species
GUGGGGAAUAUUGGACAAUGGGCGAAAGCCUGAUCCAGCAAUGCCGCGUGAGUGAUGAAGGCCUUAGGGUUGUAAAGCUCUUUUACCAGGGAUGAUAAUGACAGUACCUGGAGAAUAAGCUCCGGCUAACUCCGUGCCAGCAGCCGCGGUAAUACGGAGGGAGCUAGCGUUGUUCGGAAUUACUGGGCGUAAAGCGCACGUAGGCGGUUACUCAAGUAAGAGGUGAAAGCCCGGGGCUCAACCCCGGAACUGCCUUUGAAACUAGGUAACUAGAAUCUUGGAGAGGUCAGUGGAAUUCCGAGUGUAGAGGUGAAAUUCGUAGAUAUUCGGAAGAACACCAGUGGCGAAGGCGACUGACUGGACAAGUAUUGACGCUGAGGUGCGAAAGCGUGGGGAGCAAACAGGAUUAGAUACCCUAGUAGUCC